rnacentral:rRNA from 1 species
CGGGACUGGUGAGUAACGCGUGAGUAACCUGGCUAUAANAGGGGAAGUAACAGUUAGAAAUGACUACUAAUACCGCAUAAGCUGAUAAAGUCGCAUGAUUUAGUCAGAAAAGGAGCAAUCCGCUUAUAGAUGGGCUCGCGUCCGAUUAGCUAGUUGGUGGGGUAGAAGCCUACCAAGGCGACGAUCGGUAGCCGGACUGAGAGGUUGAACGGCCACAUUGGGACUGAGAUACGGCCCAGACUCCUACGGGAGGCAGCAG